rnacentral:rRNA from 1 species
ACGCUCGACACCUACGGGAGGCCGCAGUGGGGAAUAUUGCACAAUGGGGGAAACCCUGAUGCAGCGACGCCGCGUGAGCGAAGAAGUAUUUCGGUAUGUAAAGCUCUAUCAGCAGGGAAGAAACUGACGGUACCUGACUAAGAAGCACCGGCUAAAUACGUGCCAGCAGCCGACGGUAAUCUGAGCGGGCUGGCAAGGC